UGUCUCAUACGAGCCAGGGACAGAGCAAAUCCUUGUUUAUCUGAGCUUGGCGUUUGGCCUGUGCCCAUGCCUGGUGCAUGCCCUGGACACAUAG
ensembl:snoRNA